rnacentral:rRNA from 1 species
CACGUAGGCGGGUCGUUAAGUCGGGGGUGAAAUCCUGGAGCUCAACUCCAGAACUGCCUUCGAUACUGGCGAUCUUGGAGUCCGGGAGAGGUGGGUGGAACUGCGAGUGUAGAGGUGAAAUUCGUAGAUAUUCGCAAGAACACCAGUGGCGAAGGCGGCUCACUGGCCCGGUACUGACGCUGAGGUGCGAAAGCGUGGGAGCAAACA